rnacentral:tRNA from 1 species
CAUGAGAUGGCUGAAGAUUAAAGCGGAAGAUUGUAGUUCUUUUUAUGGGAGGAUUCUCUCUUAUGA